UACGUAGGGUGCGAGCGUUGUCCGGAAUUACUGGGCGUAAAGAGCUCGUAGGCGGUUUGUCGCGUCGUCUGUGAAAUCCUCCAGCUUAACUGGGGGCGUGCAGGCGAUACGGGCAGACUUGAGUACUACAGGGGAGACUGGAAUUCCUGGUGUAGCGGUGGAAUGCGCAGAUAUCAGGAGGAACACCGGUGGCGAAGGCGGGUCUCUGGGUAGUAACUGACGCUGAGGAGCGAAAGCAUGGGUAGCGAACAGGAUUAGAUACCCGGGUA
rnacentral:rRNA from 1 species